UCACCAGCAUCUUUAGCGCAACUAAAAGAAAUGAUUUUUGAAUACGCUGAAAGGUCUAAAGCUAAGCCUUUCUGGAUAGCUAGGGAGUGAAUUUGCUUAGUUGGUCCAGGGUUUUGCUGUUUUGGAAGAGAUAACCCAGAUUUUGAUGGGCUCCUGGAGCGGUAUGCAGGCUACGAAUUGGGUAAGCGGUAGAAACUGAGAUAAAAUAAAUAGUCUUUUUGACUUCUCGAUUGUCCACAAGAGAGGACAAAUGGUCUUUGUUGGAGAUGCCGCCGGCGAAGAAGGGAUUUGUUUGCUGAUGAGAUGUCGCUGGAGAU
rnacentral:lncRNA from 1 species